GGCUGGGACAGGGCCUGGUUCUAGGACCAGGACUUGAGGAAUCUCAGCAAGUUACUGAAACCAGUACUCUGAUUCUGAAUUACCUAGUUGGCAGAAUUCAUGGAUGAAGUUGCUACUUUCUAAGGGAUGCUGUGGGCCCUCUGGCCCCACCCAGGUCUGGUUUUGAGGAUCUGGGAGGGACUUUUGGUUCUCCAGUAUCAGGGAGACUCCGACAGGCCAGGGCAAGUGGACCUUCUAAGUUUGUAGAAGCUGCUACACCGACCGUCCAAUUUUGCAUCCCUACCAGCGACGGAUGACAAUUUCUGUCUGCUGCUCUGCCUCCUCUCUGGCAAUUGGCAUCAUCAGUGUUUUGGAUUUUAGCCAUUCAAAUAGAAUCUGCAGCUGGAAAGACAUCCCUGAAGACAAAUAGCCACCUUCCUAGCACUUUGGCUCCCGGUACAACCACUUCCAUCCCAGAGCCUCCUGGGGCGGACCAGUUCCAUGCUGCAUUCAGGCCAGUGCUCUGGCAUCUGACCCUGAAAUGGAACUUGAAGGUCACCAGCUCUAGAUGGCCAGCUUCUCCACCAUCCUCAUGCCAGGACAUCAGAGGCUCCUCCUUUACACCAAGGCCUGGCACUCCUGGACCCAUGAACCCCCACGGGCAUGGAGGCAGUGACUAAUUAAACGAAGCGGCCAACAUCUGGUAGAUGACAGGUCCUUGAGAGACUGGGACACGGGACCCAUGAACUGUGCUGAAGGUUGCUGAGCUGGCAGACUCUUGCACCUGGUGUGGAUGGAGAGCUGGUUCUUCACUGCCUUUUCUACCUUUCCUAUUUUGGAAUUUUGCCUGGGGCCAGUCCUUGUUAAAGGCCAAUUUUCUUCCCCAUCUACUUACAAUUUAUGGUCCUUCCAGAUUGCUAUCUUUGCUAGGUAAUAGAGAGGAGAGAACAAAAACAGUUGAUCAUCUUGGAGCAAGGAGAGAAGGCAAAGCUACCCCCCCCAAUCCUUCCAGUUUCUUCUCGCAUCCCUGACAGUUCUGGGGGAGCCGUAUUAGGCAGAGGUUUUUCAGUUGUAAUACAGCCUGUCAAUUAGGAUUGCGUUUGGCCGCAUGUAACAGAAGUGCGAGUACCAUGGCUUAAGCAAGCAAGGGGUUUAUUUUUCACAGGUGACAAGAAAUCCAGUGAAAAGCACUGCAUCUGCAAUCCAGACAGGAAAAGGGUAAGAGGGAAAAGAGCCUUCUCCCUUGAUGUCCCUCAAGGACCAUCACUCAUCUCGUUGCCUAAAAGUGGGUCACUGGGCCACUUAAAGCUGCAAAAACUCUAGACAAGUAUUUCAGUUAGCUACAUAGCUGCCUCAAAAAAAAAAAAAAGUCAGGAUUCUGUUGAUAAGGAAGACAGAAAAAAUGGAUACCCAUAGGGGACCAGCAGCAU